CGCCAAUGGAGCCUGCAGCCACGAGCUCUGAUUCAAUUAAGAUGUCCUGAAGGCCGGCGUCUGCAUAGAGCUUCCCAAUGCAAGAGAGAUUGUCUGCAAUGGCGAGGGAGCGGCUCAGGAUUGUGUGAACUGUUGUGAGGUCGGUUGGGCUAGCAUCAAUCACGGGGUCUCCUCCCCGAAGUCAUUGUUGUCCCAGACCAAGGUCACCGGCACUUCAGGACAGAUGGACUCGGGUAU